AUGUCUUCCUCCUCCGGCGCAUCUCACCCUAACCUCAGUGGGCAGGUGAUUGAGAAACUCUCCCGCACGAAUUACGUGUUAUGGCGCACACAGAUCACACCACAACUUCGUGGCGCCGGUGUCUUCCAAUACGUUGAUGGCACCUCGCUGGAGCCGACCAAGCUUCAAGCCGCCAAGGAUAAGGACGGCAAGGACACGUUUGUGCCCAACCCUCUCCACCCAAUCUGGGUCCGGGAGGACCAGCAGGUGCUUGGCUUCCUGCUGAGCAACCUCUCCAAAGAGGUGCUCGUCACGGUGACCGCGGUCACCACGGCGCACGCGCUCUGGACGACGCUGGCGGGCAUGUACUCGUCGCAGUUACUGAGCCGCGUCAACAACAUCCGUACCUCGCUCAUCAACACGCAGAAGGGCAACCAGUCCGCCGCCGCCUACUUCGCCACCAUGCGCGGUCUCGCGGAUGAGCUAGCGGCGGCAGGUAAGCCCAUCCAGGAUGACGAGCUGAUUUCAUACAUCCUUCAUGGGCUGGACCAGGAGUACCAGCCCCUCGUCUCCGCUCUCGACGCCCGCGUCAGCCCCGCCUCCCUCGACGAGAUCUUCUCCAUGCUCAGCAACUUCGACCAGCGCAUGGUGCACUUCCAGAACUCCGGCGGCGGUGGCUUCAAGUCCUCUGCCAACCUUGCAGCCCGUGGUCAUGGCAGCGGCUCCCGCUACCAUGGCCGCGGCAAGGGCAGGGCCGGUGGCGUCAGGACCGGCAACAAUGGUGGAACCAGUGGUGGUGGCGCUCGUGGCAACAGGGGUCGCCGCGGUGGCGGCGCUGGCCGAACCCGCCCGGACGCCCCACACUGUCAGAUCUGUGGCAAACCAGGCCACACCGCCAGAGACUGCUGGUACCGCUACGAUGAAGACGAGGACGAUGCUCAAGAUGAUGACAAGAUCGCUGCGCCUACGGCGUCGACACCAACUGGUACCUCGACAGCGGCGCCACCAAUCACCUCACUGGAGAGCUCGAGAAGGUAA
rnacentral:rRNA from 1 species